rnacentral:rRNA from 1 species
UACGGAGGGUGCGAGCGUUUGUCCGGAAUCACUGGGCGUAAAGGGCGCGUAGGCGGCCUGAUAAGUAGGGGGGUGAAAUCCUGCGGCUUAACCGCAGGGCUGCCUUCUAAACUGUCAGGCUAGAGCACAGUAGAGGCGGGUGGAAUUCCGGGUGGUAGCGGUGGAAUGCGUAGAGAUCCGGAAGAACACCAGUGGCGAAGGCGGCCCGCUGGGCAGUGGCUGACGCUGAGGCGCGGACAGCGUGGGGAGCAAACAGG